rnacentral:ribozyme from 1 species
AUCGUUCUCCGUUUCGGAUGUAUCAACACCAUGUCGAGCUUCCCAGUAUCAAAAGUCCCAGUCUUCGACUAGUUUGGACAUUAUUGGAGC